GGCCACAUUGGGACUGAGAUACGGCCCAGACUCCUACGGGAGGCAGCAGUGGGGAAUAUUGGGCAAUGGGCGCAAGCCUGACCCAGCAACGCCGCGUGAAGGAAGAAGGCUUUCGGGUUGUAAACUUCUUUUACCAGGGACGAAGAAAGUGACGGUACCUGGAGAAAAAGCCACGGCUAACUACGUGCCAGCAGCCGCGGUAAUACGUAGGUGGCAAGCGUUGUCCGGAAUUAUUGGGCGUAAAGAGCAUGUAGGCGGCCUAUUAAGUCGGGCGUGAAAAUGCGGGGCUCAACCCCGUAUGGCGCUGGAAACUGUUAGGCUUGAGUGCAGGAGAGGAAAGGGGAAUUCCCAGUGUAGCGGUGAAAUGCGUAGAUAUUGGGAGGAACACCAGUGGCGAAGGCGCCUUUCUGGACUGUGUCUGACGCUGAGAUGCGAAAGCCAGGGUAGCGAACGGGAUUAGAUACCCCGGUAGUCCUGGCCGUAAACGAUGGGUACUAGGUGUAGGAGGUAUCGACCCCUUCUGUGCCGGAGUUAACGCAAUAAGUACCCCGCCUGGGGAGUACGGCCGCAAGGUUGAAACUCAAAGGAAUUGACGGGGGCCCGCACAAGCGGUGGAGUAUGUGGUUUAAUUCGACGCAACGCGAAGAACCUUACCAAGUCUUGACAUCCUGCGACGCACAUAGAAAUAUGUGUUUCCUUCGGGACGCAGAGACAGGUGGUGCAUGGUUGUCGUCAGCUCGUGUCGUGAGAUGUUGGGUUAAGUCCCGCAACGAGCGCAACCCUUAUGGUCAGUUACUACGCAAGAGGACUCUGGCCAGACUGCCGUUGACAAAACGGAGGAAGGUGGGGAUGACGUCAAAUCAUCAUGCCCCUUAUGAUUUGGGCUACACACGUGCUACAAUGGCGUAAACAAAGUGAAGCGAAGUCGUGAGGCCAAGCAAAUCACAAAAAUAACGUCUCAGUUCGGAUUGUAGUCUGCAACUCGACUACAUGAAGCUGGAAUCGCUAGUAAUCGCAGAUCAGAAUGCUGCGGUGAAUACGUUCCCGGGUCUUGUACACACCGCCCGUCACACCAUGGGAGUCAGUAAUGCCCGAAGUCAGUGACCCAACCGCAAGGAGGGAGCUGCCGAAGGCAGGACCGAUAACUGGGGUGAAGUCGUAACAAGGUAGCCGUAUCGGAAGGUGCGGCUG
rnacentral:rRNA from 1 species